AUUGAACGCUGGCGGCAGGCCUAACACAUGCAAGUCGAGCGGAUGAAGGGAGCUUGCUCCUGGAUUCAGCGGCGGACGGGUGAGUAAUGCCUAGGAAUCUGCCUGGUAGUGGGGGAUAACGUCCGGAAACGGGCGCUAAUACCGCAUACGUCCUGAGGGAGAAAGUGGGGGAUCUUCGGACCUCACGCUAUCAGAUGAGCCUAGGUCGGAUUAGCUAGUUGGUGGGGUAAAGGCCUACCAAGGCGACGAUCCGUAACUGGUCUGAGAGGAUGAUCAGUCACACCGGAACUGAGACACGGUCCAGACUCCUACGGGAGGCAGCAGUGGGGAAUAUUGGACAAUGGGCGAAGGCCUGAUCCAGCCAUGCCGCGUGUGUGAAGAAGGUCUUCGGAUUGUAAAGCACUUUAAGUUGGGAGGAAGGGCAGUAAGUUAAUACCUUGCUGUUUUGACGUUACCAACAGAAUAAGCACCGGCUAACUUCGUG
rnacentral:rRNA from 1 species